rnacentral:rRNA from 1 species
GACGAACGCUGGCGGCGUGCUUAACACAUGCAAGUCGAACGGAAAGGCCCUGCUUGCAGGGUACUCGAGUGGCGAACGGGUGAGUAACACGUGGGUGAUCUGCCCUGCACUUCGGGAUAAGCCUGGGAAACUGGGUCUAAUACCGGAUAGGAGCCAUUUUUAGUGUGAUGGUUGGAAAGUUUUUUCGGUGUAGGAUGAGCUCGCGGCCUAUCAGCUUGUUGGUGGGGUAAUGGCGUACCAAGGCGGCGACGGGUAGCCGGCCUGAGAGGGUGGACGGCCACAUUGGGACUGAGAUACGGCCCAGACUCCUACGGGAGGCAGCAGUGGGGAAUAUUGCACAAUGGGCGCAAGCCUGAUGCAGCGACGCCGCGUGGGGGAUGACGGCCUUCGGGUUGUAAACUCCUUUCGCUAGGGACGAAGCUUUUUGUGACGGUACCUAGAUAAGAAGCACCGGCUAACUACGUG